rnacentral:rRNA from 1 species
CCUACGGGCGGCAGCAGUGGGGAAUAUUGGACAAUGGGGGGAACCCUGAUCCAGCCAUGCCGCGUGUGUGAAGAAGGCCCUCGGGUUGUAAAGCACUUUCAGUGAGGAAGAACGCCUGGUGGUUAAUACCCAUCAGGAAAGACAUCACUCACAGAAGAAGCACCGGCUAACUCCGUGCCAGUAGCCGCGGUAAUACGGAGGGUGCGAGCGUUAAUCGGAAUUACUGGGCGUAAAGCGCGCGUAGGUGGCUUGAUAAGCCGGUUGUGAAAGCCCCGGGCUCAACCUGGGAACGGCAUCCGGAACUGUCAAGCUAGAGUGCAGGAGAGGAAGGUAGAAUUCCCGGUGUAGCGGUGAAAUGCGUAGAGAUCGGGAGGAAUACCAGUGGCGAAGGCGGCCUUCUGGACUGACACUGACACUGAGGUGCGAAAGCGUGGGUAGCAAACAGGAUUAGAUACCCCUGUAGUC